UCCCUGGUGGCUCAGAGGUUAAACGUCUGCCUCCAACGCAGGAAACCCGGGUUCGAUCCCUGGGUUGGGAA
rfam:Ovis aries breed Texel chromosome 2, whole genome shotgun sequence.